GGCAACUUUCAUUCAUGAUCGGCAGUUUUAGAUAAUUGUUCACUGCUAUACGCAGACAUGAAGUGUUUGAAGCUAUUGGUAAAUUAAAGUACAAUGCAGUUCAAGUUCAAAAACUAGAAAUAAAGGAACCUAUCUCGCUUUUCAAUUCAUAAUAGUACACAACACCAAAAGCUCGCAACAUUUUAAAUAUUCCUAUCACAUCAACAGAAGUGAAUAGUCCAUCUGACAUUAUCGUUGCCACACUCAGAGGUACGAGUCCGUCUCCAUGUUCCAACAUCCAUGUAUUUGCCUUCCAGCCUAGGAAGCCUGUGGUCCCAGCGUGGAAUUUAAUAUAUUCACCAGGUUUAUAUUCAGAGGGUCUAGAUGGGGUUUAAUGUUAAGUGUUGACGGCCCAUAUUCUAUAGUGUUUAAUGUUGAAACGCUAAAUAUUUUGUUGUUUACUGUCAUGGAAGACUUCGCAGUUAAGUGUUGUAAUUACUAUAAAAAGUCUAAUGCAUUUCAAAAAGGGCUUUAAACUACUAAAUUUCAGACAAAAGAAUACGAAACUAUAUUAAAAGCGAUGUCAGAGUGUGUUUACAGGUCUUACCAGUGGCGUGCUGGCAGGGGGGGCCGGGGGGCCACGGCCCCCCCAGUUGGCAAUUCUUGCAGGGCGCAAAAAUGAAAAGGGGGCGCCGAUCCCGCGCCGAGAUUUGAAAGUGGGUGGGAAAAAACGCAUUCGAAAAAAUAUAUUUACUUCCGCCGAGAAAAGAUGUGUUUAUAUAGGCUUAUAAAACAGACUAAGUGCAUAGGUAACAAAGUGAUAUAUUAAAUUAUACAGACUAUUUUGUCUAACCGUAUUUGCUAAUUUGCUACCUCACGACUCACACGAAAUCGUUCAUAUAGAAACAUGAACUGUGAUCACACGCAAUGUCUCAUCACCGGAAUAUUGGUCAGGUUUCGAAGUGAUCACGGGAAUUAUGCCUUUUUUUGCUGGUGUUAUGCCCUUUAUUAUGCUUCACGAAUCACAAGAGCGGCGCAAAUUAGAUAGUUUAAGUUAUGAUAAUGUAAAGUUGUGUACGCAAUUUAGUUGCAUGUUUGCGCUAGAAACAUCAUGAGUAAUGUAUUGUGAGUAAUGCUGAAACGCGCCCUUUUGGCACCAGGCAGCCGGAAACCUUAAAAUGCAUAUGCGUGGGGUCCAUGUGUUAUUGUAUAAAAGAACCGUAUGUUGUAAUUGUAUUCAGAUCACUAGAUCAGUAGAGAAUAGAAUUGAGAUUAGAUUAAUCGCUGGAAGUUGUUAGCAUUGCAUAAUAUAAGUACUACUACUACUAAAUUCAAACUAAAUUGCAAAUUUCGAUACGUUAUAAUGCCGUUUCCUGACCAUCAGAUUUCUGUCAAAUCUUCCCCCAAAGUCCACGAAAUGGCAUUUCAGAGACUCUAAAUUCAAAAAUUUUCCUGGGGGGCAUGCCCCCGGACCCCCCUAGACAAACCUCGCACCUGCGGCGUUCGGCUCGUGUCUUCGGCCCUCGUUUAUCAAGCGAAAUAUUAUAGGGGCGCAUAUUUGUUGACAGCCCACUGGCCCCCCCAGAAAAAUAGUACCCAGCAUG
rnacentral:lncRNA from 1 species